rnacentral:lncRNA from 1 species
AGCUAAGUUGGUUGCGCUCGAGAAUGAUGAAACUUCUAACGGGACUUCGCGUAGAUUUAAGCAAUCUCAAGAAGAGGAUGACGAGCUCUUUUUCAGGUUAUUUGCUGCUUCUUUAUGGUAUUGUAUGUUUGUUUUAUUCUGAAAAAUGUGGUGGAACUCGCAUUUUAAUGGAGCUCGCAUUUUAAUAGAUAUCUAAUUUAUAGAAAUUAAUUUCUAAUUUAUUUCUAAUUAGACCAUUGUUUUUUUACCUAAAAACACUGUUUAACACUUUUCACGCGAAUUCAUUCGCCCGGGACUAUUUUUACACCUCAGAAUCUAAUUUGAUCGACGAUGAACAUGAACUUCAACUUCAAUGGUGUUGCUCAGCCAAUCGUUCCUGCCAUUCCAGGAGGAUUUGCGGUUGGUUUUCUCCCCGGUGGAGGAUUCAGUAUAGUGAUUCCUCCAAAUGAAGGUAUGACAUUGACUCUCACCGCUACUGAUGGUGUCGGAGAUGAUGGUGUGGGUGGCUGAUGAAGACGUCAGAGGCGGAGGCGGAGGCAUAGGCGGAUGCAUAGGCGGAGGAGAUAAUAUUGCAGCUGUCUUGGGUAAACAUUUUUCAAUUACAAAUUUCAUUAUUAUUUUUUUGGUAAAGAUGGAAUAUAUUUCUGGAUAAUAUAUUUAUAGAAACUUAUCUUCCCAAAAGGUUGUAAAUUAUUGGAUAAUAUAUUUUAAAAGAAAAAAAAAAUCUCAAUUAUUUUC